AAUGAACGCUGGCGGCAGGCCUAACACAUGCAAGUCGAGCGGAAAGACGGAGAUUGCUCGCGUCUUCAGCUGGGGACGGGCGGGUGAUGCACAGGUGUAUACCUGGCCGUUGUGGCUGGGGUGACUAAGCGGGAGCUAAUACAACAUCGGUGCAUAGGGAGAACGGGGGGGAUCAUUAGAGCUCACGGGUUUAGCUGACACUAGGUCGCGUUAGCGAGUUGGUUGGGUAAAGGGCUAACAAGGCGACGAUCCGUAACUGGUCUGAGAGGCUGAUCAGCCACACUGGAACUGAGACACGGUCCAGACUCCUACGGGAGGCAGCAGUAGGGAAUAUUGGGCAAUGGGCGAAAGCCUGACCCAGCCAUGCCGCGUGUGUGAAGAAGGUCUUCGGAUUGUAAAGCCCUUUUAUUGGGGAAGAACAGCUGUAGGUGAAGACCUUGCUGUUUUGACGGUACCUAAAGAAUAAGCACCGGCUAACUACGUG
rnacentral:rRNA from 1 species